rnacentral:tRNA from 1 species
GGAGGAUUAGCUCAGCUGGGAGAGCAUCUGCCUUACAAGCAGAGGGUCGGCGGUCACAGACUAAGUUCACUGCAUCCUGCA